UUUCCAUAGUCCUAAAAACCUCACCUGUGGAAUAUGGCUGAACUCUCGGUCUUGAGUUUGAAUUCUCGCUAAACGCGCUGUAGUUUCAAAGUUUUGACAGCAGAACAAAAGACCCACUCAGAACUUUUACCAUGUUCAGAUGCUUGAAUCUGCUGGUGCUGUUUUGCUUGGUCUGUUUUAGCGAUGUGUCAGUACAAAGAUCUUUUGAUCUGUUCAGAGUUCGGAUGAGAGAAGACAUCAGGCUGAACUGCAGAAUGAGAAACCAAUAUGAAGUGGCCUGGUAUCAUCUCAGAUCUGAAGAGCUCGUUCUACUGAUUUCUGGAGUGAAGGACAAAACUGGAAGAAAUCUCCUGAUCAACUACAAUCAGGACAGCAAUCGUCUGAACAUUACUGCAGACAGUUGGAUCACCAGAGUCUCUCUAGUUAUUUCUGGAGUAUCAGAGUCAGAUUCUGGUCUUUAUUUCUGUGGAACAAAGUCUGACACUCCAGAGAUGCACUUCAACAGAACCAUCAGACUGGAGAUUGAGGAGCCAGAUGGUGCUGAUUGGAAUCUCUCUAACAAACUCCUGAUCCUGCUGGCUGCUUUGCUUUUGCAUCUUUUACAUCAUCUUCUUCUUGAGGGACCAAGAUAAUGGCACAUAUAAACACAAUCACCAGCUACUCCGAUGACAAAGAGAUCCUGCUGUUUUUUAUUGUAAAUCUAUGUAAAUGUAAAUCUAUUGUAAAUGUUUGCUAUUAACAACAUGAUUUUAUAUCAAAUAUCAUAUUAUCCCUUUCUCUGCAUUCUCGUACCCAUUUGUCCCUACACAGGGUUUCCACAGGGCAUUAAAAAGAAUUAAAAGUCAUUAAAUAAAUUUUGUGAAAAUUAA